GAUGAAGAACGCAGCGAAAUGCGAUACUUGGUGUGAAUUGCAGAAUCCCGUGAACCAUCGAGUCUUUGAACGCAAGUUGCGCCCGAAGCCACUAGGCCGAGGGCACGCCUGCCUGGGCGUCACACGUCGUUGCCCCCCCAUCUACUCCUUCGGGAUUGCGGGGGGGCGGAUGAUGGCCUCCCGUGCGCCUAGCCGCGCGGUUGGCAUAAAUACCAAGUCCUCGGCGACGCACGCCACGACAAUCGGUGGUUGCGAAACCUCGGUUGCCCGUCGUGUGCGUUCGUCGCGCAUCGAGGGCUCGAAAAAAUGCUCGGCUCCGGCUGGGCUUUCAACGCGACCCCAGGUCAGGCGGGGUUACCCGCUGAAUUUAAGCAUAUCAUAAGCGGAGGA
rnacentral:misc_RNA from 1 species